CGUGUAGGCGGCCUGACAGGUCUGCUGUGAAAACUCGAGGCUCAACCUCGAGAUGUCGGCGGAAACCGUCUGGCUAGAGUCCGGAAGAGGAGAGUGGAAUUCCUGGUGUAGCGGUGAAAUGCGCAGAUAUCAGGAAGAACACCUAUGGCGAAGGCAGCUCUCUGGGACGGUACUGACGCUGAGACGCGAAAGCGUGGGAGCGAACA
rnacentral:rRNA from 1 species